rnacentral:rRNA from 1 species
UAGGGAAUCUUCCGCAAUGGGCGAAAGCUUGACGGAGCAACGCCGCGUGAGUGAUGAAGGUCUUCGGAUCGUAAAACUCUGUUAUUAGGGAAGAACAAAUGUGUAAGUAACUAUGCACGUCUUGACGGUACCUAAUCAGAAAGCCACGGCUAACUACGUGCCAGCAGCCGCGGUAAUACGUAGGUGGCAAGCGUUAUCCGGAAUUAUUGGGCGUAAAGCGCGCGUAGGCGGUUUUUUAAGUCUGAUGUGAAAGCCCACGGCUCAACCGUGGAGGGUCAUUGGAAACUGGAAAACUUGAGUGCAGAAGAGGAAAGUGGAAUUCCAUGUGUAGCGGUGAAAUGCGCAGAGAUAUGGAGGAACACCAGUGGCGAAGGCGACUUGCUGGUCUGUGACUGACGCUGAUGUGCGAAAGCGUGGGGAUCAAACAGG